AUUGAACGCUGGCGGCAUGCCUUACACAUGCAAGUCGAACGGCAGCGGACCUUCGGGUGCCGGCGAGUGGCGAACGGGUGAGUAAUAUAUCGGAACGUACCUUUCAGUGGGGGAUAACGUAGCGAAAGUUACGCUAAUACCGCAUAUUCUGUGAGCAGGAAAGCAGGGGAUCGCAAGACCUUGCGCUGAUUGAGCGGCCGAUAUCAGAUUAGCUAGUUGGUGAGGUAAAGGCUCACCAAGGCGACGAUCUGUAGCGGGUCUGAGAGGAUGAUCCGCCACACUGGAACUGAGACACGGUCCAGACUCCUACGGGAGGCAGCAGUGGGGAAUUUUGGACAAUAGGCGCAAGCCUGAUCCAGCCAUGCCGCGUGAGUGAAGAAGGCCUC
rnacentral:rRNA from 1 species